AGAGUUUGAUCCUGGCUCAGGAUGAACGCUAGCGGCAGGCUUAACACAUGCAAGUCGAGGGGCAGCGGGGAGGAAGCUUGCUUUCUCCGCCGGCGACCGGCGCACGGGUGAGUAACACGUAUGCAACCUGCCCCUGUCAGGGGGACAACCCGCCGAAAGGCGGGCUAAACCCGCGUACAUGCCACCGGGGCAUCCCGGAGGCAGGAAAGGCUUCGGCCGGACAGGGAUGGGCAUGCGGCGCAUUAGGCAGGAGGCGGGGUAACGGCCCACCUAACCGACGAUGCGUAGGGGUUCUGAGAGGAAGGUCCCCCACACUGGUACUGAGACACGGACCAGACUCCUACGGGAGGCAGCAGUGAGGAAUAUUGGUCAAUGGUCGGGAGACUGAACCAGCCAAACCGCGUGAGGGAGGAAGGUACAGAGUAUCGUAAACCUCUUUUGUCAGGGAACAAAGGCGGGGACGUGUCCCCGGAUGAGUGUACCUGAAGAAAAAGCAUCGGCUAACUCCGUGCCAGCAGCCGCGGUAAUACGGAGGAUGCGAGCGUUAUCCGGAUUUAUUGGGUUUAAAGGGUGCGCAGGCGGUCUGUUAAGUCAGCGGUCAAAGCCCGGGGCUCAACCCCGGCCCGCCGUUGAAACUGGCAGUCUCGAGUUGGAGAGAAGUAUGCGGAAUGCGCGGUGUAGCGGUGAAAUGCAUAGAUAUCGCGCAGAACUCCGAUUGCGAAGGCAGCAUGCCGGCUCCACACUGACGCUGAGGCACGAAAGCGUGGGUAUCGAACAAAAUUAGAUACCCUGGUAGUCCACGCAGUAAACGAUGAAUGCAGGCUGUCCGGGGGGAUUGAACCCUGGGUGGCGAAGAGAAAGGGAUAAGCAUUCCUCCAGGGGAGUACGCCGGCAGCGGUGAAACUCAAAGGAAUUGACGGGGGCCCGCACAAGUGGAGGAACAUGUGGUUUAAUUCGAUGAUACGCGAGGAACCUUACCCGGGCUCGAACGGGGAGGUGACUCAGGCAGAGACGCCUGUUUCCCACGGGACACUCCCCGAGGUGCUGCAUGGUUGUCGUCAGCUCGUGCCGUGAGGUGUCGGCUUAAGUGCCAUAACGAGCGCAACCCCCGCGUGCAGUUGCUAACAGAUAACGCUGAGGACUCUGCACGGACUGCCGGCGCAAGCCGCGAGGAAGGCGGGGAUGACGUCAAAUCAGCACGGCCCUUACGUCCGGGGCGACACACGUGUUACAAUGGGUGGUACAGCGGGAAGCCAGGCGGCGACGCCGAGCGGAACCCGAAAUCCACUCUCAGUUCGGAUCGGAGUCUGCAACCCGACUCCGUGAAGCUGGAUUCGCUAGUAAUCGCGCAUCAGCCAUGGCGCGGUGAAUACGUUCCCGGGCCUUGCACACACCGCCCGUCA
rnacentral:rRNA from 1 species